GUUGAAGAACGCAGCGAAAUGCGAUAAGUAGUGUGAAUUGCAGAAUUCAGUGAAUCAUCGAAUCUUUGAACGCACAUUGCGCCCCUUGGUAUCCCGAGGGGCAUGCCUGUUCGAGCGUCAUUUCACCACUCAAGCCUGGCUUGGUGUUGGGCGACGUCCUCUUUGGGGACGCGCCUCGAAACGCUCGGCGGCGUGGCACCGGCUUUAAGCGUAGCAGAAUCUUUCGCUUUGGAAGUCGGGGCCCCGUCUGCCGGAAGACCUGCUCGCAAGGUUGACCUCGGAUCAGGCAGGGAUACCCGCUGAACUUAAGCAUAUCAAUAAGCGGAGGA
rnacentral:misc_RNA from 1 species